GUGUGCGUAGCUCAGUGGUUACACUGCAGGAAAAAUGCUGAAAAUUGAGGCAGUCAUGGGUUCGAAUCCCAUUGCACACA
rnacentral:tRNA from 1 species